rnacentral:lncRNA from 1 species
CUUCAUUUUCAAUUCCCUGAAAGCUCCUAUCACAAUGUUGGGUUCAUGGGUUUCUGUUGAAUUGAUUUAAUGGUUUGGGAAAAAGCCCAGAUAACUCUCUGGUGACAUAUCCAAGAAUUCUGGAUUAAUAUCAAUAGUACUUUCUAUUAAAAAUGCAUUCAGGCUACCUGCUGUCUAAAAUAACCUACAUUCCCUUUUUGGAACUGACUAGCCUUUAAAGACUUGACGCAAGUAAGCUUUAGAAGGGUUUAUCAAUAAACACUUAUAUAUGGAUUAAUCGAUUGAUGUACAGUCUCCGCAGUGUAUCUUUAAUAUCGACCUAUUGUGUUGCUUAAAGCCAACUCAUCAAAAAAUUGUUUUGUUUCAUUUUGAGAUUUGAUCCUUGCCUGAUCAAUGGCUGAGAUUUCAUCUUGGAAUUUUAGGCUCCUGGACAUCAAUGAAUAAUCUAACAAUAUUGGGAAGAAACAAGCGUGAGGAACGUGGCCCAAAAGUUGAGCGUAAGACUCACAGUCAACCUGCCUAUCUCCAAGUCUAAAUGUGCAAUUCACCAUCAGAUUAUGAGAACACAGAGGCUUCCUCCAGCUCCAUGGUCCACCACAGUAUCUACACCUACACAGAGAUCUACAUUUACAAUAAAGCAAAACAGCAGACACUGGGGAUGUGUGUCUAUUUUGGCGGGCUGAGGGAGAAAGAGAAAUAAUAUUACACUGUUUGAAGUAGAAAUCCCCAACAUUUUUGGUACCAAGGACUGGUUUUCUUUAAGCCAAUGUUUCCGUGGACUGGGAAGUAGGGCUGGGAGGGAUGGUUUUAGGAUGAAACUGUUUUACCACAGGUCAUUAGGUGUUAGAUUUUCAUAAGGAGCACACAACCUAGAUCCCUGGCACACACAGUUUACAAUAGGGUUCAUGAUCCUAUUAGAAUCCAGUACUACCGCUGAUCUGACAGGAGGUAGAGCUCAGGUGGUAAUGCUUGCUUGCCUGCCACUCAUCUUCUGCUGGGUGGCCCAGUUCCUAACAGACCACGGAACAAUAUUGGUUAGGGCUGGGAACCCCUGGUUGAAAGGAUAGCAAGUACUGAAAGCCAGGGUAGCAAACCCAAAUGCCUCUGGGAGGACAGACAAUGGGGAGCUGGAGGGCUGUGGAACUAGAGAGUUCAUG